rnacentral:siRNA from 1 species
CACUUUUAUUUCUCCUGUCGAC